GCACAUUACAGUCGUUUAUUUAAUUUUAGCAAUCAAUAAACAGUUAACAAACAAGUAAAGACUGAAGCGACACACAAUAUAUUUUAUAUAAUAUAAUUAAUACGUUAUAGCUUUAACGUCUCACAUAAUGAAGUGUGUGUGAAAUGUAAUAUACUGUAAUGUGUUUACCAGUUUGUUUGUUUUAUCAGUUAAUUAUUUGGACAUGGAAAUGAUUCAGAGACUAAACCGCUGCAUGUCAAAAUAUCAGUUUUAAAUGAGACUUUUAUUUAAAAGAUUUCAUGCCAGUUCAUGACGUUAUUACAGUUAUAAUACUAGACAGAUUUAAAUAUUAACUCAAUAAAACUCCUGAAAUAUCACAGUAUGAAAUUGUAUAAACUUGAAAUGAGUAAAAAAAAAGUCAACAAAUUAAACCAACCUCUAGCCUAAGCAGGAAAAAGUGUAAAAUUACAUUUCAUGGCUUCUAACAAACAUUACACACACACACGCACACACACACACACACAGACUGAGUAGGAAAAGGAGGAGUGUGAGAAGAGAAUAGGGGGGCGUGUGUUUCAUGAUGAAGAGUACGUUUAUCCUCUCAGAAUAUCAGCCCACACAGAUCUCUCUUUCUCACACACACACACACACACACACACACACACACACACACACACACACACACACACACACACACACACACACACACACACACACACACACACACACACACAAAAACCAGGACAUCAACUGUGAAGGUGUGUGUUCUUCCAUUGUCCAUUUGAUCCUGUUGGAAAAAUAACCUGAUCCCUGCAUUAAGGACUGACGAGACAUUGGACACGAGUAUGAGUGAGAUUGGUUCCUCAAAAACUCACAGCAGCACCAAGGAGCUGAUGGAUGAUGGGAAAAAAGCCCCUGUGGAAAAGGCGUCUAAACCCCCAGCUCAGGAUGACGAGGAGGAAAUUGACAUCGACCUGGAUGCGCCCGAGACGGAGAAAGCAGCUCUGGCCAUUCAGAAUCAGUUCAGACGCUUCCAGAAGAAAAAAAAGUAGACAAGAAGCAGAAGAACGGCAGGACGGAGGAGGAAUAAAGCUGCGAUGGGGGAGGUCGAGGGGUGUGUGGGUGGAAAAUUAGGGGUCUCAGAAUACCAAAUAACAGUCUUUCACACUGACGCAGUGACAAUUACAGCUCACACACUCUUUGUCUUUCUUUUUAUUUCUUUUUCACUCUCUUUCUUGAAAUAAUUCAUGCAAUAGUAAUAAUUUCAGUGUGCUGUAACAGCUCCUGCUCAUAAAUAAAAUAAAAUAAAAAUUAAAUAAAAUUUAAAAAACAUACCUUGAGAAAUUAAGAAACUGAGUCAGCAUUAAAAGUCACAAUAAAACACAAUGAAAUAUCGAUCUCAUAGAUUCAAUAUUUUCAUUCAUUCAUUAAGACUAGUAGGUGAUAAGUAUUAUCGAUAUCAGAUAAUGUAUUAUUAAAUUAUAUAGCAUUACAUUUACACUUUCUUUCUCUCUCUCUAUUUAUCCAUUAAACAAUAAUUAUCCAUUAAAUAAAUUUUUUGCAUCAUGUUUAUUACCUUAAACGUACCACUGAUUUGUUUUUUUAAAUCCUCAAAACUAAGUCAUGUAUUAAAAUUUCAGUCAAUAAACCAUUAAAUCAAUACGUUUUAUUACUAUAAUAUAAUACAUCAGUGUAUGAUUUGAUCAAUUUAUCAGGUACUAUCAGGUAUUUCUUGGAAAUUGACAUAAAAAAUAAAUGUAUUUGUUUCUGUACAGUGGGAUAUAGAUUUCUAUAAUUAGAGAAAGAAAUGAGGAAAAUAAAAAUAAGUUCAUUUUCAGCUGUUUUGACAAACACUCAUUGCUUUAUUGAGUUAGAUGGUUAAUUUUAGCUAGAAGGUUUGGGUCUACUCGCUGUGUUUAAGCUUGGUGGCUAAUGUUAGCCACCUAGCCCACUAAGUUAUCCAAUGCAUGCUGCUAACACAGUAAGAGAUCUGUUAGCUAAAAUGAGCUUGUGUUAAAAUGAAGAGGUUUUUCUCUUACACUCAGUAUACUUGUACUUUUUUUGUUUAAGUUUCAACAGCAACUACCAGAGAGGGCACCAAAUCCUUAAAUCCCCCAAACCCUACAUCCAGCAGCUUUCAUUUACAAAAACAAUAUGACAUGAAGAAAUUUUAGAAGUCAAGUGACCUAACAUAUGACUGUAUACACCGUAGGAUAACCUAAACCAUGUAUCCAUGUAGUGUUACAACAUGAAAUUUUCAGCUGUCUGCUUCUAAAAGAAGAGAAAAGCAGAAAGUAGCAUAGCACAGGAUAAUGGCACUGUUUUUUACAUCAUUAAAACCUAUUCUUCGAAAUUUGUAAGGAGAUAUUUAUCAGCUUUAAUUAGUAAUAGAAAAACUCUUCUUCUUUUUCUUCUCAUUAUUAUAUAACAAUUCUCCGAAGAAAGUAUGGAAAUUAGUAUAUAUGGAAAGUAUGGAAAGGAAAUUAAUAUACAUCACAACUAUAACUUUAAUAAACUAUUGUGCUAGCUGAUUUGAUGGCAAUUGGAUGACAUUAACAUUUAUUUCUAAUAAAUGAUACUAAACUGGA